GUGUUUGCUUUGGCAGCACAUGUACUGAAAUUGGACUGAUACAAAGAUGAUUAGCAUGACUCCUAUACAAAGAUGACAUGCAAAUUUGUGAAGUGUUCCAUACUUAA